rnacentral:rRNA from 1 species
GAUGAACGCUGGCGGCGUGCCUAAUACAUGCAAGUCGAACGCUUUGUGGUUCAACUGAUUUGAAGAGCUUGCUCAGAUAUGACGAUGAACAUUGCAAAGAGUGGCGAACGGGUGAGUAACACGUGGGAAACCUACCUCUUAGCAGGGGAUAACAUUUGGAAACAGAUGCUAAUACCGUAUAACAAUGACAACCGCAUGGUUGUUAUUUAAAAGAUGGUUCUGCUAUCACUAAGAGAUGGUCCCGCGGUGCAUUAGCUAGUUGGUAAGGUAAUGGCUUACCAAGGCGAUGAUGCAUAGCCGAGUUGAGAGACUGAUCGGCCACAAUGGGACUGAGACACGGCCCAUACUCCUACGGGAGGCAGCAGUAGGGAAUCUUCCACAAUGGGCGAAAGCCUGAUGGAGCAACGCCGCGUGUGUGAUGAAGGGUUUCGGCUCGUAAAACACUGUUGUAAGAGAAGAAUGACAUUGAGAGUAACUGUUCAAUGUGUGACGGUAUCUUACCAGAAAGGAACGGCUAAAUACGUGCCAGCAGCCGCGGUAAUACGUAUGUUCCAAGCGUUAUCCGGAUUUAUUGGGCGUAAAGCGAGCGCAGACGGUUAUUUAAGUCUGAAGUGAAAGCCCUCAGCUCAACUGAGGAAUUGCUUUGGAAACUGGAUGACUUGAGUGCAGUAGAGGAAAGUGGAACUCCAUGUGUAGCGGUGAAAUGCGUAGAUAUAUGGAAGAACACCAGUGGCGAAGGCGGCUUUCUGGACUGUAACUGACGUUGAGGCUCGAAAGUGUGGGUAGCAAACAGGAUUAGAUACCCUGGUAGUCCACACCGUAAACGAUGAGUGCUAGGUGUUUGAGGGUUUCCGCCCUUAAGUGCCGCAGCUAACGCAUUAAGCACUCCGCCUGGGGAGUACGACCGCAAGGUUGAAACUCAAAGGAAUUGACGGGGACCCGCACAAGCGGUGGAGCAUGUGGUUUAAUUCGAAGCAACGCGAAGAACCUUACCAGGUCUUGACAUCCCUUGACAACUCCAGAGAUGGAGCGUUCCCUUCGGGGACAAGGUGACAGGUGGUGCAUGGUUGUCGUCAGCUCGUGUCGUGAGAUGUUGGGUUAAGUCCCGCAACGAGCGCAACCCUUAUUACUAGUUGCCAGCAUUCAGUUGGGCACUCUAGUGAGACUGCCGGUGACAAACCGGAGGAAGGUGGGGAUGACGUCAAAUCAUCAUGCCCCUUAUGACCUGGGCUACACACGUGCUACAAUGGCGUAUACAACGAGUUGCCAACCCGCGAGGGUGAGCUAAUCUCUUAAAGUACGUCUCAGUUCGGAUUGUAGGCUGCAACUCGCCUACAUGAAGUCGGAAUCGCUAGUAAUCGCGGAUCAGCACGCCGCGGUGAAUACGUUCCCGGGUCUUGUACACACCGCCCGUCACACCAUGAGAGUUUGUAACACCCAAAGCCGGUGGGGUAACCUUCGGGAGCCAGCCGUCUAAGGUGGGACAGAUGAUUAGGGUG